rnacentral:rRNA from 1 species
CCUACGGGGGGCUGCAGUGGGGAAUUUUGCGCAAUGGGCGAAAGCCUGACGCAGCAACGCCGCGUGUGUGAUGAAGGCCUUAGGGUUGUAAAGCACUGUUCAGAGGGAAGAACAAACGGGUUUAAUAGCUCGUCCUGACGGUACCUCUGCAGAAAGCACUGGCUAACUCCGUGCCAGCAGCCGCGGUAAUACGGAGAGUGCAAGCGUUGUUCGGAAUUAUUGGGCGUAAAGGGCGUCUAGGUGGUUCGUUAAGUCAGAUGUGAAAUCCCUCGGCUCAACCGAGGACGUGCAUUUGAAACUAGCGAACUUGAGUACUUGAGAGGGCAGCGGAAUUCCUGGUGUAGAGGUGAAAUUCGUAGAUAUCAGGAGGAACACCAGCGGCGAAGGCGGCUGCCUGGCAAGAGACUGACACUGAAGCGCGAAAGCGUGGGGAGCAAACAGGAUUAGAUACCCGAGUAGUC